rnacentral:lncRNA from 1 species
GGUGUGAGGAACAGCUCAUUGUGUUCAUUCAACCUGCUUGAACACUGAGCCCAAUCACAGAAGGAGCUGAGCUUCUGUCCUGCCACAGAACUCAUCACAAGCAGGCGGCUGCUGGAGGCCAUAGCCACGUGUAGGGAAGGUCUUUCAGUGAGAUUUCAUGUCCUGUAGUUUUCAAAUCAAAACCUAUGAAGUGAGGGGCAACUUGUGAGGUUGUUCUGCAAAGCAGAGCUCAGAAGUAAGCUCUUCUCCUUGGAGCUUAGCCAAACACUCCUGACCAAACACCUUUGGGCAACUGGUCAAAUCCAGUGAUCCCCUGAAGGUCUGCAAGGAGCUCUCACAGGCCAAACUCAGAAGAAGUCCCCUUCAAGAUGACUGUCAGCCGGACACAGAAGCAGCCUUCUUCUGUAGCAUGUGAGAGAGUGAUGCAAUCAAGACUCCAUCACAUCAUAUUUCAAAUACUCAGUUGCUCAUUGAAUGGUAGAAUCUCCACCCUUGCUUCC